rnacentral:tRNA from 1 species
GGGUGCUUAGCUCAGAUGGUAGAGCGGCGCCCUUACAAGGCGUAGGUCGGGAGUUCGAGCCUCUCAGCACCCACCA